AUUCACCAGUUUAGGUAUGGAGACACUAUGGUUUUGUUUUCUUUGAUUAUAUAAUAAAUUCUUAAUUUGUGAAUAAAUAAAUAAAACAUAGAGACUCCCCUGGUUCUCCAGUGGUUAGGAAUUUGUGCUUUCCACUGGGUCUAGAUGCCCAGUGUGUGGAUUUCAUUUCUGGUUUGGGAGCUAAGAUCCCACAAGCCACAUGAUGGUGCAGUCAAAAAAGAAAAAAAUAUAUGUGUAAUAACGACAUAUUUUAGCAAUUGUUAUUUACUAAAUACUCUGUGCCCUCCUAGUACACCGGUCCUCAGUGUUUAGUCUUCAGCAACCACUCACGAGGGUACAGGUGACUGUCUGUAACUUUCUGCUGCAGAAACUGAGGCUAAGCCUUCCACCCAAGGUCACAGUCAAGGGCAGACCCAGGGUUCCAACUCUCCCCCUGUGCCCCCUGCUGUGGUUGACAGCUGCUCCCUGUCAAGUCCCUUGGAGCAGCACCCACCCUUCCAGGGAUCCUGGCAAGCAGAGCUGGUGGCACCAGUUGGAGAGACACUGGGAAGCGUGUCAGGAGCAGGGCUCGGACCACGGACAUGAGGAUGGUGCCAGGAANNNNNNNNNNNNNNNNNNNNNNNNNCCAGGUGGGAACGUUGCAGCCAGAAGAGGCGAACUCAGAGACCUCAAGGAAAACCUAGGCCUAGAUUCUAAUUCUUGAAGGCUGUAUUUCUCGACAGUAUUUGAAGAGGAUGCACAGAAAUUGUAUUUGAACUUUUGAAAUAGUGACAGCCUCUUCUGACCCACACCUGCUCCUCAGGAGGAGGGCGGUGGCCCUUUGUAAUUCAUGGUGAAACUUCGAUGCCCUCAGGGUGCGGUGAGAAGGCAGGGAGCUUCAGGCCACAGGCUGCUCACCCUCAGAAGAGGACCACGCUGCUGGCAGGGCCCUAGGACAGCUGCCUACUGCUGGGGAGGAGGGACCUGCUUGGAGUUUGCCUCGGUGCAGGAUGAAAAGCAGCAGUUACACCACAGAAGAAAGAACUCAGGGAAAAGGAACGCAGAAAUCACAUGGCCAUCUUCCAUCCCUCCUCCCGGCUGAACCUAACUCACCCACUCUAAGCCCACUUUUUAUCUUAUUUCCUCUGACACCUCUAUUUCAUUGUUUGUUUUUUUAAAGUGAAGUAUCAAUUACCUACAGUAAAAUUCACCAUUCUCACCGUAUAUAGUUCUACAUUAUUUUUUUAGUUCUACAUGAACAUACAUGUCAUCACCACUGUAAUCAAGUUAUGGGGUUUUUUUUCUAUCACCUACAAAGUUCCUGCACGCUCCUGUGUAGUCAGUUUCUCCCCCAAGGCCAGCCUGUCUUCUGUCGCUAUAUUUUUGCCAUUUCAAGGAUGUUAUGUGAAUGGAAUCACAUGGUCUUUAGCUUUUGGGGUCUAGCCUCUUUAAUUUAGCAAAAGUAUUCCAAGUUCAGUCAUGAUGGUCUGUGUAUCAGAAGUCCCUUAUUAUUAUUAUUAUUUUUUACUGCUGAGUAGUAUUCCAUUGUGUGGAUGUACCUUACUGUUUAAUCUGCUCACCAGCUGAAAGAUAUUUGGGCUGUUGCCAGCUUGGGGAAGUUAUUAAAGAGCUGUUACAGAUAUUCACAUGUGGGUGUGCCUGCUGGGGUACAAGGUAAGGGGAUAUUAACUUGAACCUCUCUGUAUUUGAUCUCUCACAACUCUUUAGGUCAGUUGUACAGUACAGAGACUUUCCUUUAGUUCUUUUCUAAUCUCCUUUUAACCAACCAAAAAUUGUUGAUACAGUAGUUAUCGGGCAUUAUGCUAACACUGAAGCUGCAAAGGUAAAUGAGAUGUUUCUCUAGGAUAUGUACAUGAUCCCAAAUUGCUGACUCAGUAGUAGAUGCUCGAUCGCAGCAAGGAGGUGGAACUGGAAUUCACCAGCCAACUCAGGUCAUCUUGGGACAGGGUUGGCUAUAAGCAACCAAAACAUUGAUUUCAUAUAAGAAAUAAAACCACAGGAAUCAUUUCUGGGUCUUCCCAGGUGGCUCAGUGGUAAAGAAUCCACUGCCAAUCCACUGCCAAAGAAUCUCCUGCCAAUGCAGGAGACAUAGGUCUGAUUCCAGGGUUGGGAAGAUCCCAUAGAGUAGGAAAUGGCAACCCUCUCCAGUAUUCUUGCCUGAGAAAUCCCAGGGAGAGAGGAGACUGUUGGGCUAUAGUCGCAAAAGAGUCAGAUACAACUUAGCUAGUAAACCACCACCAGAAACUUGCAGACACACCCAUAGAUUCUGGCUUACGGGCAACCCAUCACUUAGAUGCAUAGCAAGGGGAUGUUUUCCCAACCGACACCCUCAUCUUCACAAUUUCCCUCAUACUUGAAAACACCCAGAGGAAACAAUAUAAAAUAGUGGAAGAACAGAAAUAUUUUGUACUGACAAUUCUAUGUGCACAAGCUUUCCAAAAGGCAUUGUAUUCCCAAUAUUUCCAGAAUGUAAGGUCCUCUUGUUCAGCCCCUUGAUAGCCAGAGUUCCUCUGCAAUAUCACUGCUCAGCCAAUGGCUGCAUUUUCCCAGUGAUGUCAGCCCACCGUCCUGAUGGUCUACUGGUAUCAAGCACUGGAUCUGGAGUAAGAUGUGCUUAAUAUGCCUGCAUGAGUUGUUAGAGCAUUUGCUGACAUUAUCAUCAUCAAUAUUAUCAUUGUUAUUAUGAUUUCACCUAUAGACAAUCUGGAGCCUAGAAUUUCCAUUUUUGUAUUAAGCCAGAACCUGUUAACCUUAGCACUUCAUCCAUUGAUCUUACAUUUGGCUUGGGGAGUGGGGCAUUCAAAAUAAAUGGAAUUUAUAUGAGACAUUUCAAAGUCUGUGGAGACAAGUGAAAGUGUUAGUUGCUCAGUCCU
rnacentral:lncRNA from 1 species